AAUAGAUACCCGGGUAGUCCACGCCGUAAACGAUGAGAACUAGAUGUUAGGGGGCUUAGACCUUUUAGUAUCGCAGCAAACGCGUUAAGUUCUCCGCCUGGGGAGUACGGCCGCAAGGUUAAAACUCAAAUGAAUUGACGGGGGCCCGCACAAGCGGUGGAGCAUGUGGUUUAAUUCGAUGCAACGCGAAGAACCUUACCUACCUUUGAAUCCACGGAAUCUUGCAGAAAUGUGAGAGUGCCUUCGGGAACCGUGAGACAGGUGCUGCAUGGCUGUCGUCAGCUCGUGUCGUGAGAUGUUGGGUUAAGUCCCGUAACGAGCGCAACCCUUGUCCUUAGUUACCAGCGAGUUAUAUCGGGGACUUUAAGGAGACUGCCGGUGAUAAACCGGAGGAAGGUGGGGAUGACGUCAAGUCCUCAUGGCCCUUACAGGUAGGGCCACACACGUGCUACAAUGGCCGGUACAAAGGGUUGCCAACCCGCGAGGGGGAGCUAAUCUCAAAAAGCCGGUCGUAGUCCGGAUUGGAGUCUGCAACUCGACUCCAUGAAGCUGGAAUCGCU
rnacentral:rRNA from 1 species